rnacentral:tRNA from 1 species
AGUAUAAUGCCUGAAUAAAAGGGUUAUCUUGAUAGGAUAAAUAAUGCAUUUUAGCUUUUACUA